GGGGGGAUGGCCGAGCGGCCGAAGGCGGCGGUCUUGAAAACCGCUAGUCCCGCAAGGGGCUCAAGGGUUCGAAUCCCUUUCCCCCCGCCC
rnacentral:tRNA from 1 species